GAUGAACGCUAGCGGCAGGCUUAAUACAUGCAAGUCGAGGGGUAGCAAGAUUGCAGCAAUACAAUUGUUGACGACCGGCAAACGGGUGCGGAACACGUACACAACCUUCCUACAAGUGGGGAAUAGCCCAGAGAAAUUUGGAUUAAUACCCCGUAACAUAGCGAUGUGGCAUCACAUUGCUAUUAUAGCUUCGGCGCUUGUUGAUGGGUGUGCGGCUGAUUAGAUAGUUGGCGGGGUAACGGCCCACCAAGUCUACGAUCAGUAGCUGAUGUGAGAGCUUGAUCAGCCACACGGGCACUGAGACACAGGCCGGACUCCUACGGGAGGCAGCAGUAAGAAAUAUUGGACAAUGGACGCAAGUCUGAUCCAGCCAUGCCGCGUGAAGGAUUAAGGUCCUCUGGAUUGUAAACUUCUUUUACAAGGGACGAAAAAAGGUCUUUCUAGAUCGUCUGACGGUACCUUAUGAAUAAGCACCGGCUAACUCCGUGCCAGCAGCCGCCGUAAAAC
rnacentral:rRNA from 1 species